GACAGAGGGUGCGAACGUUGUUCGGAAUUACUGGGCGUAAAGCGUAUGCAGGCGGAUCGUUAAGUCGGGGGUGAAAUCCCGAGGCUCAACCUCGGAACUGCCUUCGAUACUGGCGACCUUCGAGUCCGGGAGAGGUGAGUGGAACUCCGAGUGUAGAGGUGAAAUUCGUAGAUAUUCGGAAGAACACCAGUGGCGAAGGCGGCUCACUGGCCCGGUACUGACGCUGAGAUACGAAAGCGUGGGGAGCAAACAGG
rnacentral:rRNA from 1 species